GCUCUGGUGGCCUAGUAGUUAGAGCGUCCACCUCAGAUACGGGAAGUCGUGGGUUCGAACCCCAGAUGAGUCAUAGCA